CUCUAAGGAGGACUGCCGGUGACAAACCGGAGGAAGGUGGGGAUGACGUCAAGUCAUCAUGGCCCUUACGGCCUGGGCUACACACAUGCUACAAUGGUCGGUACAAAGGGUUGCCAAGCCGCGAGGUGGAGCUAAUCCCAUAAACCGAUCGUAGUCCGGAUCGCAGUCUGCAACUCGACUGCGUGAAGUCGGAAUCGCUAGUAAUCGUGAAUCAGAAUGUCACGGUGAAUACGUUCCCGGGCCUU
rnacentral:rRNA from 1 species